rfam:Camelus ferus unplaced genomic scaffold scaffold1891, whole genome shotgun sequence.
GAGGGUGUAGCUCAGUGGUAGAGCACAGGCUUGGCAUGCACAGAGUCCUGAGUUCAAUCCCUAGUACCUCCA